rnacentral:rRNA from 1 species
GAGUUUGAUCUUGGCUCAGAACGAACGCUGGCGGCAUGCCUAACACAUGCAAGUCGAACGAGAUCUUCGGAUCUAGUGGCGCACGGGUGCGUAACGCGUGGGAAUCUGCCCUUGGGUGCGGAAUAACUUCUCGAAAGGGAUGCUAAAUACCGCAUAAUGUCGUAAGACCAAAGAUUUAUCGCCCAAGGAUGAGCCCGCGUAAGAUUAGCUAGUUGGUGGGGUAAAAGCCUACCAAGGCGACGAUCUUUAGCUGGUCUGAGAGGAUGAUCAGCCACACUGGGACUGAGACACGGCCCAGACUCCUACGGGAGGCAGCAGUGGGGAAUAUUGGACAAUGGGCGAAAGCCUGAUCCAGCAAUGCCGCGUGAGUGAUGAAGGCCCUAGGGUUGUAAAGCUCUUUUACCCGGGAUGAUAAUGACAGUACCGGGAGAAUAAGCUCCGGCUAACUCCGUGCCAGCCGCCGCCGUAAGACCUGAGCAAGGCACAC